GCGCGGUAUACAGAGGGUGCGAGCGUUAUCGGAUUUACUGGGCGUAAAGCGUGCGUAGGCGGCUUUAAGUCGGAUGUGAAAUCCCUGAGCUUGACUUAGGAAUUGCAUUCGAUACUGGGAAGCUAGAGUAUGGGAGAGGAUGGUAGAAUUCCAGGUGUAGCGGUGAAAUGCGUAGAGAUCUGGAGGAAUACCGAUGGCGAAGGCAGCCAUCUGGCCUAAUACUGACGCUGAGGUACGAAAGCAUGGGGAGCAAACAGGAUUAGAUACCCUGGUAGUCCAUGCCGUAAACGAUGUCUACUAGCCGUUGGGGCCUUUGAGGCUUUAGUGGCGCAGCUAACGCGAUAAGUAGACCGCCUGGGGAGUACGGUCGCAAGACUAAAACUCAAAUGAAUUGACGGGGGCCCGCACAAGCGGUGGAGCAUGUGGUUUAAUUCGAUGCAACGCGAAGAACCUUACCUGGUCUUGACAUAGUAAGAACUUUCCAGAGAUGGAUUGGUGCCUUCGGGAACUUACAUACAGGUGCUGCAUGGCUGUCGUCAGCUCGUGUCGUGAGAUGUU
rnacentral:rRNA from 1 species